CACCUUCCCACAGAGAAAAUUCCUCUGUUGUUUUAAAUAUUUAUCUGUGUUUCCAGAGCUACAGACCUUGAACUUCUUGCUCCCAGGGGAUCUAUACCAGCCUGGAGUUUGUAUGUGGUUUCGUCGUAGACAUUUCGUUGUGGGCUGUCCAGUGAUGCCCAGGAACAAGGCUACUCAUGCAUUGAGUUCUGUUGGAGCAUGUUCCCAGUGAUGUUUGAAUUUUAAACAAGAAGCACUGUGAUAUAAUAGCUCAGUUGUUUUAAAUGGACUGUCCCGUCUCCUCUUGGGGAAAAUGAAAGUCACACCAGAAAAUCAUCUAGUAUGCUCCUCUUGUUUCCAACUGCAAUUUACUGUGGAGGCAAGGAACAAAGAGAGGCCUGCUCUAGGAAAACAGACAUGACUGGGAGCUGGGAGAGCGGAAGAUGCAGGCGAUCAUAUCCCCAGGCCUUUCUGCCGAGAGAGCAGGUCCUGCAGCCUGGGGAUCCAUCACCAUCAACAAAGCUCAGCUCAGGUUUACAAAGCAGAAAUAUCACUUUGUUGACAAAGGUCCAUCUAGUCAAAGCUAUGGUUUUUCCAAUAGUCAUGUAUAAAUGUGAGAGUUGGACCAUAAAGAAAGCUGAAUGCUGA
rnacentral:lncRNA from 1 species